UACGAAGGGUGCAAGCGUUACUCGGAAUUACUGGGCGUAAAGCGUGCGUAGGUGGUUUGUUAAGUCUGAUGUGAAAGCCCUGGGCUCAACCUGGGAAUUGCAAUGGAUACUGGCAGGCUGGAGUAUGGUAGAGGAAGGUGGAAUUCCCGGUGUAGCAGUGAAAUGCGUAGAGAUCGGGAGGAACACCAGUGGCGAAGGCGGCCUUCUGGACCAAUACUGACGCUCAUGCACGAAGGCGUGGGGAGCAAACAGG
rnacentral:rRNA from 1 species